UCGCCUGAAGGAAGCUGGAAAGACGGAGCAAUCUGUCACUUGAGGAUGGGCCUGCGGCGCAUUAGCUAGUUGGUGAGGUAACGGCUCACCAAGGCGACGAUGCGUAGCCGACCUGAGAGGGUGAUCGGCCACACUGGGACUGAGACACGGCCCAGACUCCUACGGGAGGCAGCAGUAGGGAAUCUUCCGCAAUGGGCGAAAGCCUGACGGAGCAAUGCCGCGUGAGUGAUGAAGGUUUUCGGAUCGUAAAGCUCUGUUGCCAGGGAAGAACGUCCUUGAGAGUAACUGCUCAAGGAGUGACGGUACCUGAGAAGAAAGCCCCGGCUAACUACGUGCCAGCAGCCGCGGUAAUACGUAGGGGGCAAGCGUUGUCCGGAAUUAUUGGGCGUAAAGCGCGCGCAAGCGGUCAUUUAAGUCUGGUGUUUAAUCCCGGGGCUCAACCCCGGAUCGCACUGGAAACUGGAUGACUUGAGUGCAGAAGAGGAGAGUGGAAUUCCACGUGUAGCGGUGAAAUGCGU
rnacentral:rRNA from 1 species